AAAACCAGAGGAAGAGAGAGCUCACAAGGGAGAGAGGAGACGCGCACCGUCAUCCGUCAUCCGCACCCCUCAACGAGUGUAGUCCGUCAUUCGCGCCGCCACUGCCCAGCCCAACCCCUCAACGAGCGUCCCCUCGACUGCACUUUCACCCUCCUACGCCGCUGCCGCCGCAACGGUGGUAUCUUCCGCCAGGUCUUCUCCAUUACCAUCACCACCGAUUUCUGUAAGGACAUGCGGAGAAUAGCGGUAGUUUAAUUGCCGAAUUGCGGCGAUUUUGAAUCGCCGCUAAAUAAGUUACCAGCGGAACAGAAUCCGCAGCGCAUAAAGGCGCGGGGUCACAUUUUGCAGCGGUUUCCAGCAACCGCUGGCAUAACCAUCGCAAAUCAGCGAUAUCUGGAGGCAGCUCCCCGCAUUGCUGUUGGACCAGAUAACUCAGCAUACUCUCUAUUGCCUGCCUC